UUCGCAAUGCCCGAAAGGGUGACGAAGCGACGCCGCGUGCGGGAAGAAGGCCUUCGGGUUGUAAACCGCUGUCGGGAGUUAGGAAAUGCAAGGGUGUUAACAGCGUCCUUGCUUGACUAAGGCUCCGGAGGAAGCCACGGCUAACUCUGUGCCAGCAGCCGCGGUAAUACAGAGGCGGCAAGCGUUGUUCGGAAUUAUUGGGCGUAAAGAGCACGUAGGCGGCUAUGUAAGUCGGUUGUGAAAGCCUUCCGCUCAACGGGAGAACAGCAUCCGAUACUGCAUGGCUUGAGUGUGGGAGGGGAGAGUGGAACUUCUGGUGGAGCGGUGAAAUGCGUAGAUAUCAGGAGGAACGCCGGCGGCGAAAGCGGCUCUCUGGCCCAUAACUGACGCUGAGUGUGCGAAAGCUAGGGGAGCAAACGGGAUUAGAUACCCCGGUAGUCCUAGCCGUAAACGAUGGGCACUAAGUAGAGGGGUUUU
rnacentral:rRNA from 1 species